rnacentral:rRNA from 1 species
CCUACGGGUGGCAGCAGUGGGGGAUAUUGCACAAUGGGGGGAACUCUGAUGCAGCGACGCCGCGUGAGCGAUGGAGUACUUCGGUAUGUAAAGCUCUGUUAGCAGGGAAGAAAAUGACGGUACCUGACCAAGUAUCUCUGGCUAAAUACGUGCCAGCAGCCGCGGUAAUACGUAGGGGGCAAGCGUUAUCCGGAUUUACUGGGUGUAAAGGGAGCGUAGGCGGCAGGGCAAGCCUGAUGUGAAAGCCCGGGGCUCAACCCCGAGAGUGCAUUGGAAACUGUCCUGCUGGAGUGCCGGAGGGGCAGGCGGAAUGCCUAGUGUAGCGGUGAAAUGCGUAGAUAUUAGGAGGAACACCAGUGGCGAAGGCGGCCCGCUGGACGGUGACUGACGCUGAGGCUCGAAAGCGUGGGGAGCAAACAGGAUUAGAUACCCCUGUAGUC